rnacentral:rRNA from 1 species
GCAAGGAGUAAAGGGUCAAUAGUGGAUGCCUAGGAGCUGAUUGCGAAGAAGGUUGUGGCAAGCUGCUAAAAGGCUCGGGUAGCUGCACGCAAGCUAUGAUCCGGGCAUUACCGAAUGGGGCAACCCACCAUUUGCUGAACAAGCGGAUGGUACUGGGCCUAUUAUAUAGGCUCGGGGCGGAACCGGGCGAAUUGAAACAUCUUAGUAGCCCGAGGAAAAGAAAUCAAACAGAGAUUCCCUGAGUAGUGGUGAGCGAAAGGGGAGUAGCCCAAACCUAUAGAGUGUUAAAGGGUCGUACCGUUGCUUUAUAGGGGUUGUAGCCUCUCAUGAUGUAAGCAUACGACUGCUUAUGCACAUUUCUUGUAUUAUAGGGGAACAACCUGGGAAGGUUGGCCAGAGAAGGUGAAAGUCCUGUACCUGAAAUGGUACAAGAGAUGUGAGUGGGAGUGCUGAGUACCAUGGGACUCGUGUAAUCCUGUGGGAAUCCGGGUGGACCAUCAUCCAAGGCUAAAUAUUAAUCAGCUACCGAUAGUGAACGAGUACCGUGAGGGAAAGGUGAAAAGAACCCCGGAAGGGGAGUGAAAUAGAACCUGAAACUAUUGACUUACAAGCUGUAGGAGCUGAGCCCAUCACCGAGGAUAUUUUAAGAAAGUGAGUCAUCAAACGAGCAAAGAGUGACGAACGGACCAAAGAGUAUCUUCCGUGAUGGGCUUGGUGACUGCGUGCCUUUUGCAUAAUGAGCCGGCGAGUUAUUCUACCGUGCGAGGUUAAGGGGUUGUAGCCCUGAAGCCGAAGGGAAACCGAGUCUGAUAAGGGCGAUUUAGUACGAUGGAAUAGACCCGAAGCCGCGUGAUCUAUCCAUGAGCAGGUUGAAGCGUGGGUAAUACCAUGUGGAGGACCGAACUGGUUGCGGUUAAAAACGCAUCGGAUGACUUGUGGAUAGGGGUGAAAGGCUAAACAAACGUGGCGAUAGCUGGUUCUCCUCGAAAUGCCUUUAGGGGCAGCCUCACGUAGUAACUGAUGGUAGUAGAGCACUGGAAGGGCUAGGGCGGGGAAACCCGUACCAAACCCUACUAAACUCCGAAGGCCAUCAGUGUAAUCGUGGGAGUGAGACUGUGGGGGAUAAGCUUCAUAGUCGAGAGGGAAAGAGCCCAGACCGUUAUCUAAGGUCUCUAAAGCAUUGCUAAGUGGGAAAGGAUGUGCCGAUGCCAGGACAGCCAGGAGGUUUGCUUAGAAGCAGCCACCCUUAAAAGAGUGCGUAAUAGCUCACUGGUCGAGCAUUGGUGCGCCGAAGAUAUAACGGGGCUAAAGCAAUGUACCGAAGGUACGGCAUUACUCUUUUUGGAGUGAAGAGUAUUGGGUAGAGGAGCGUUCUGGAAGCUGACGAAGGUGUGCCGUGAGGCAUGCUGGAGGCAACAGAAGUGAGAAUGCCGGCAUGAGUAGCGAUAAAGCAGAUGAGAAAUCUGCUCGCCGUAAGUCCAAGGAUUCCUGGGUAAAGCAGAUCUUCCCAGGGUUAGUCGGGUCCUAAGGUGAGGCCGAAAGGCGUAGCUGAUGGAAAACAGGUUAAUAUUCCUGUACCAGCGAAUGACCGUUAAUACCGAUGCGGUGACGCAGAGGGUAAAUCCAAGCAGACUGAUGGAUGUCUGUCUAACUUUGUAGGGGUUAUGUGAGGCAAAUCCUUGCAUUAUAAAUCCCUGAUGAAGGACGGGGACUGUGCAGCGAUGCAUGGGAACUUGGAGGAGCCGUACUGCCAAGAAAGAGCCGCUCAGGGAGGUUAUUUGUUGCCCGUACCGGAAACCGACACAGGUGGACGAGGGUAGUACCCAAAGGCGCACAAGAGAACCCCUGUUAAGGAACUCGGCAAAAUGCACGUGUAACUUCGGGAUAAGCGUGGCCUCAAGUAGGUGAUGGGGAGAAACCGAAGCUGAAAGAGGUUGCAAAAAAGAGGCUCUGGCGACUGUUUACCAAAAACACAGAUCUCUGCUAAGACUUAAGUCUAAGUAUAGGGAUUGAGACCUGCCCGGUGCCAGAAGGUUAAAGAAGGGGGUCAACGGGGUAACCCGUGAAGCUCUUGACUGAAGCCCUGGUAAACGGCGGCUGUAACUAUAACAGUCCUAAGGUAGCGAAAUUCCUUGUCGGGUAA